GGCCUAACACAUGCAAGUCGAACGGUAACAGGAAACAGCUUGCUGUUUCGCUGACGAGUGGCGGGCGGGUGAGUAAUGUCUGGGAAACUGCCUGAUGGAGGGGGAUAACUACUGGAAACGGUAGCUAAUACCGCAUAACGUCGCAAGACCAAAGAGGGGGACCUUCGGGCCUCUUGCCAUCGGAUGUGCCCAGAUGGGAUUAGCUAGUAGGUGGGGUAACGGCUCACCUAGGCGACGAUCCCUAGCUGGUCUGAGAGGAUGACCAGCCACACUGGAACUGAGACACGGUCCAGACUCCUACGGGAGGCAGCAGUGGGGAAUAUUGCACAAUGGGCGCAAGCCUGAUGCAGCCAUGCCGCGUGUAUGAAGAAGGCCUUCGGGUUGUAAAGUACUUUCAGCGGGGAGGAAGGGAGUAAAGUUAAUACCUUUGCUCAUUGACGUUACCCGCAGAAGAAGCACCGGCUAACUCCGUGCCAGCAGCCGCGGUAAUACGGAGGGUGCAAGCGUUAAUCGGAAUUACUGGGCGUAAAGCGCACGCAGGCGGUUUGUUAAGUCAGAUGUGAAAUCCCCGGGCUCAACCUGGGAACUGCAUCUGAUACUGGCAAGCUUGAGUCUCGUAGAGGGGGGUAGAAUUCCAGGUGUAGCGGUGAAAUGCGUAGAGAUCUGGAGGAAUACCGGUGGCGAAGGCGGCCCCCUGGACGAAGACUGACGCUCAGGUGCGAAA
rnacentral:rRNA from 1 species